rnacentral:rRNA from 1 species
GUCUACGGCCAUACCACCCUGAACGCGCCCGAUCUCGUCUGAUCUCAGAAGCUAAGCAGGGUCGGGCCUGGUUAGUACUUGGAUGGGAGAAAACAAGGAAGAAAAAAACA